rnacentral:rRNA from 1 species
UACGAAGGGGGCUAGCGUUGCUCGGAAUCACUGGGCGUAAAGCGCACGUAGGCGGUUUGUUAAGUCAGGGGUGAAAUCCUGGAGCUCAACUCCAGAACUGCCUUUGAUACUGGCGAUCUCGAGUCCGGGAGAGGUGAGUGGAACUGCGAGUGUAGAGGUGAAAUUCGUAGAUAUUAGGAAGAACACCAGUGGCGAAGGCGGCUCACUGGCCCGGUACUGACGCUGAGGCGCGAAAGCGUGGGGAGCAAACAGG